rnacentral:rRNA from 1 species
UGGGGAAUAUUGCACAAUGGGCGCAAGCCUGAUGCAGCCAUGCCGCGUGUGUGAAGAAGGCCUUCGGGUUGUAAAGCACUUUCAGCGAGGAGGAAGGUGGUGAGCUUAAUACGCUCAUCAAUUGACGUUACUCGCAGAAGAAGCACCGGCUAACUCCGUGCCAGCAGCCGCGGUAAUACGGAGGGUGCAAGCGUUAAUCGGAAUUACUGGGCGUAAAGCGCACGCAGGCGGUUUGUUAAGUCAGAUGUGAAAUCCCCGGGCUCAACCUGGGAACUGCAUUUGAAACUGGCAAGCUAGAGUCUCGUAGAGGGGGGUAGAAUUCCAGGUGUAGCGGUGAAAUGCGUAGAGAUCUGGAGGAAUACCGGUGGCGAAGGCGGCCCCCUGGACGAAGACUGACGCUCAGGUGCGAAAGCGUGGGGAGCAAAACAGGAUUAGAUACCCUGGUAGUCCACGCUGUAAACGAUGUCGAUUUUGGAGGUUGUGCCCCUUGAGGCGUGGCUUCCGGAGCUAACGCGUUAAAUCGACCGCCUGGGGAGUACGGCCGCAAGGUUAAAACUUAAAUGAAUUGAC